GUGGAUUAGAUACCCUGGUAGUCCACGCUGUAAACGAUGAGUGCUAGGUGUUCGGGGUUUCGAUACCCUGGGUGCCGAAGUUAACGCAUUAAGCACUCCGCCUGGGGAGUACGGUCGCAAGACUGAAACUCAAAGGAAUUGACGGGGACCCGCACAAGCAGUGGAGUAUGUGGUUUAAUUCGAAGCAACGCGAAGAACCUUACCAGGUCUUGACAUCGGAAUGACCGGCUUAGAGAUAAGCCUUUCCUUCGGGACAUUCCAGACAGGUGGUGCACGGCUGUCGUCAGCU
rnacentral:rRNA from 1 species